GUGAAUCAUCGAAUCUUUGAACGCACAUUGCGCCCGCCAGUAUUCUGGCGGGCAUGCCUGUCCGAGCGUCAUUUCAACCCUCAAGCCCCCGGGCUUGGUGUUGGAGACCGGCGAGCCCUCCGGGGCACGCCGCCUCCCAAAUUUAGUGGCGGUCUCGCUGUAGCUUCCUCUGCGUAGUAGCACACCUCGCACUGGGAAACAGCGUGGCCACGCCGUAAAACCCCCCACUUCUGAAAGGUUGACCUCGGAUCAGGUAGGAAUACCCGCUGAACUUAAGCAUAUCAAUAAGCGGAGGA
rnacentral:misc_RNA from 1 species